rnacentral:lncRNA from 1 species
GGAGGGGAGGAGAGGGAGGAGGCGUAGGCAGCCAGCUGUCAGAGCUGCUUAUUUUAUUUUUCUUGCUCCUGGAGCAGGCUGGCAGAGCAGUCCCCGAUAGCAGCAGGAAUGAAGAACAUGGGCCGAAGGAGGAGAUAAUUUAGGCCUGUUUCCCUGGCUGAUUCCGCUGUGCCUCCUUCUAUCUCUCUGCCUCUGAUUCUCUCCUCCUCUGUCUCUCUCAUGGUCUCUGAAGGAGAUGAAUUCCAGAGCCCAGCCAGCCUCCAUGGGCCACCAACUACAUCCUCCAUGGAGAAUCUUCAAAGCUCUAGAGCCCCUAUUCCCAAACCAUUUCCUGUCUUUUUUAUUACAUGGACUUACUCCAAAAAGGAGCGAAAGAACUUGUACAUGUUUCCAUUCUGAUCAGUUCUUUCUGGAUUUUCCGGGCAUUUUUGUUACCAGGUGUCUGAAAGAUCCUGAGUGCUAUGAACUGGCUUUCACAUCUGCGACCUGCUGUAGCCCUCCCACAACACUGGGCCCAGGGGUGUUGAUUUUCUUUUACAAAUGGGGCAACUAAGGCAUGUUAACAGCUGAGCCUAGGUUUGAACCUGGUUCCCCCUGUGCUGGUGCAGAGCUGUUUCCCCUGGGAUAUAUGUCUCCAGUGUCACUGCCCUUCCACUGGGUUUCCUGCUUUUACCUAACAUCGACUCACACGGUCAUUUUCGGGGUGGCAGGGCCUCCUGUCUUGUCGUUUUAAUGGCCACAUGGCAUUCCAUCAUGUUGAUGGAUCAUUUUGUUUGGUCACUCCCUCAUCGUUGGAUAUGUGUGAGGUGUCUAAUUUCUUGCUAUAAUAAAUGCAACUGCUGUAUUUUGUUCAAA